rnacentral:rRNA from 2 species
UUAAAUUGAAGAGUUUGAUCAUGGCUCAGAUUGAACGCUGGCGGCAGGCCUAACACAUGCAAGUCGAGCGGUAGCACAGAGAGCUUGCUCUCGGGUGACGAGCGGCGGACGGGUGAGUAAUGUCUGGGAAACUGCCUGAUGGAGGGGGAUAACUACUGGAAA